GGGGUGACGGCGUACCUUUUGUAUAAUGGGUCAGCGACUUACGUUCAGUAGCAAGCUUAACCGUAUAGGGCAGGCGUAGCGAAAGCGAGUCCGAAUAGGGCGUUCAGUUGCUGGGCGUAGACCCGAAACCAGGUGAUCUAUCCAUGGCCAGGAUGAAGGUGCGGUAACACGUACUGGAGGUCCGAACCCACUAACGUUGAAAAGUUAGGGGAUGAGCUGUGGAUAGGGGUGAAAGGCUAAACAAACCUGGAAAUAGCUGGUUCUCUCCGAAAACUAUUUAGGUAGUGCCUCGUGUCUCACCUUCGGGGGUAGAGCACUGUCAUGGUUGGGGGGUCUAUUGCAGAUUACCCCGCCAUAGCAAACUCCGAAUACCGAAGAGUGCAAUCACGGGAGACAGACAUCGGGUGCUAACGUCCGGUGUCAAGAGGGAAACAACCCAGACCGCCAGCUAAGGUCCCCAAAUAUGGCUAAGUGGGAAACGAAGUGGGAAGGCUAAAACAGUCAGGAGGUUGGCUUAGAAGCAGCCACCCUUUAAAGAAAGCGUAAUAGCUCACUGAUCGAGUCGUCCUGCGCGGAAGAUGUAACGGGGCUAAGCCAUAUACCGAAGCUGCGGAUGCGUGCUUGCACGCAUGGUAGGAGAGCGUUCCGUAAGCCUGCGAAGGUGCCUUGUAAAGGGUGCUGGAGGUAUCGGAAGUGCGAAUGCUGACAUGAGUAGCGAUAAAGGGGGUGAAAGGCCCCCUCGCCGUAAGCCCAAGGUUUCCUACGCAACGUUCAUCGGCGUAGGGUGAGUCGGCCCCUAAGGCGAGGCAGAAAUGCGUAGCUGAUGGGAAGCAGGUCAAUAUUCCUGCACCGUCGUUAGAUGCGAUGGGGGGACGGAUCGCGGAAGGUUGUCCGGGUGUUGGACGUCCCGGUCGCUGCAUUGGAGAAGGCGCUUAGGCAAAUCCGGGCGCAGGAUUCAAGGGUGUGGCGCGAGCGACUUCGGUCGCGAAGCAAUUGGAAGUGGUUCCAAGAAAAGCCUCUAAGCUUCAGUCUAACGAUGACCGUACCGCAAACCGACACAGGUGGGCGAGAUGAGUAUUCUAAGGCGCUUGAGAGAACUCGGGAGAAGGAACUCGGCAAAUUGGUACCGUAACUUCGGGAUAAGGUACGCCCUUGUAGCUUGACUGGCCUGCGCCAGGAGGGUGAAGGGGUUGCAAUAAACUGGUGGCUGCGACUGUUUAAUAAAAACACAGCACUCUGCAAACACGAAAGUGGACGUAUAGGGUGUGACGCCUGCCCGGUGCCGGAAGAUUAAAUGAUGGGGUGCAAGCUCUUGAUUGAAGUCCCGGUAAACGGCGGCCGUAACUAUAACGGUCCUAAGGUAGCGAAAUUCCUUGUCGGGUAAGUUCCGACCUGCACGAAUGGCGUAACGAUGGCCACACUGUCUCCUCCCGAGACUCAGCGAAGUUGAAGUGUUUGUGAUGAUGCAAUCUACCCGCGGCUAGACGGAAAGACCCCAUGAACCUUUACUGUAGCUUUGCAUUGGACUUUGAACCGAUCUGUGUAGGAUAGGUGGGAGGCUAUGAAACCGGAACGCUAGUUUCGGUGGAGCCGUCCUUGAAAUACCACCCUGGUUUGUUUGAGGUUCUAACCUUGGUCCGUGAUCCGGAUCGGGGACAGUGCAUGGUAGGCAGUUUGACUGGGGCGGUCUCCUCCCAAAGGGUAACGGAGGAGUACGAAGGUACGCUAGGUACGGUCGGAAAUCGUGCUGAUAGUGCAAUGGCAUAAGCGUGCUUAACUGCGAGACCGACAAGUCGAGCAGGUGCGAAAGCAGGUCAUAGUGAUCCGGUGGUUCUGUAUGGAAGGGCCAUCGCUCAACGGAUAAAAGGUACUCUGGGGAUAACAGGCUGAUACCGCCCAAGAGUUCAUAUCGACGGCGGUGUUUGGCACCUCGAUGUCGGCUCAUCUCAUCCUGGGGCUGUAGCCGGUCCCAAGGGUAUGGCUGUUCGCCAUUUAAAGAGGUACGUGAGCUGGGUUUAAAACGUCGUGAGACAGUUUGGUCCCUAUCUGCCGUGGGCGUUGGAUAUUUGAA
rnacentral:rRNA from 1 species